CUAUUCACCUGCCCCCAAGUUCACAUCACCCCUUGUUUUCCAAGAAGUGUAAGAAACACAUAAAAAGAGAGAUUUAUUCAAAGGCUAUAAUUAAGAUGCCAACAAGUUCAUCGAAGCUGCUCGUUGUGCUGAUGAUUUUCUCAUUCUUGGCCGCGCUUUUCAUGAUCUCACAUGCUCAACCAGGUAACGCGUACGACAAUAGACGACCGUACACUCCUGUUCCUGCAAAAUGUUUUAAACCACCUUAUAAAUGCCGUCCAUGAGAUCAGUUUCAAUCUGAUCACAUGAAUGAAAUUACAAUCAAAUAAAUAUUUUAAGGGCGAUGUAGGCGUGUAUCUUCAUAUAUAUUGAGAAUAAAGAGCUUGUGAGAUCCAUGUUAUAAUAUGUUGCAGUUUGUGUUUUGUAAUGUAUGGGUUAAGGUGGUU